GAUGAAGAACGUAGCGAAAUGCGAUAAGUAAUGUGAAUUGCAGAAUUCAGUGAAUCAUCGAAUCUUUGAACGCACCUUGCGCCCUUUGGCCAUUCCGAAGGGCAUGCCUGUUUGAGUAUCAUGAACACCUCAACUCUCAUGGCUCGCCAUGAUGAGCUUGGAUUUGGGGGUCUUGCUGGCCUGUGGUCGGCUCCUCUCAAAUGGAUCAGCUUGCCAGUGUUUGGUGGCAUCACAGGUGUGAUAACUAUCUGCGCUUGUGGUUUUCCAUCAGACAACCUUCAGUGAUGGAGGUUCGCUGGAGCUCAUAAACGUCUCCCCUAAGCGGGGACAGCCCUUUGAAUGUUUGAUCUCAAAUCAGGUAGGACUACCCGCUGAACUUAAGCAUAUCAAUAAGCGGAGGA
rnacentral:misc_RNA from 1 species